AUGGAGAACGAGUCGCAGCUCGCAAGUGCGACGCCAAGGGAUUUUACAUUCCAAUUGUUAAAGCAAAUUACAAAUGAUUUUUCUGAGGACAACAGAAUUGGUGUUGGCGGGUACGGAGUAGUCUACAAGGGAACACUCGACAAUGGUGAAGUGAUUGCUGUGAAGAAGCUUUAUUACAAGCAUCCAGGACUUGACAGCGACAAGCAAUUUCAGAAUGAGUGUACUAACCUUAUGAGGGUCCAUCAUCAAAAUAUAGUAAGGUUAGUUGGCUACUGCCAUGAAAUUCGUCAUAUAUGCGUAGAGCACAAUGGGAGAUAUGUUUUUGCUAUGGUGGAAGAUAGAGCUCUCUGCUUCGAAUACUUGGAGGGUGGAAGCCUUGACAAACAUCUCACGGACGAAUCCUGUGGAUUUGGUUGGCACACGCGUUACAAAAUCAUUAAAGGAAUUUGUGAGGGAUUAAAUUACCUUCAUAAUGGAUCAAAAGAAUCGAUUUUCCAUCUGGACUUGAAACCAGCCAAUAUAUUGCUGGAUAGGAAUAUGAUGCCAAAGAUAGGAGAUUUUGGUUUGUCCAGACUCUUCGAUUCAACAGAAACCUGUUCCACAAAAGGAAUUAUAGGAACACCUGGAUACAUGCCACCAGAAUACAUCAAUAGAUUCCACAUCACACCAAAGUUUGACGUAUUCAGUUUGGGCGUUACAAUCAUAAAAAUAAUGUCAGGACAAGAGGGCUACUCCAAAUUUGCGGAUAUGUCUUCCCAAGAAUUUAUUCAACUUGUACAUGAAAACUGGGAAAAGGCGUUGCAGACAACUGUGUUGGCGCAUACAUCACAUGGAGUUAAGAAAUGCAUUGAAAUAGCAUUAAGAUGCGUGGAGGCUGACCGAGUGAAAAGGCCUACUAUAGCCGAGGUUGUGGAUGAAUUGAGUAAGAUUGAUACUACCAUUAUCGAUGAACUAAAUAAGAUUGAUACAGACAGAAGUUCACCAAUAGAGCAGGUCACCAACUUACAAUGCAAUCAGGCCUUCACCCCAUGUGUGAACUCAGGAAUGUUCUCAAAAGAUGGUGGUAAAGAUGGGAGUAUGAUUAGUUCCUGCAGCAGUCAAGCCAUUCGAGCCUCUUCAGAUUCGGUGCUUCUAAGAGCAAAUAUUAAAUGCCCUAUCUUGUCAUCAACCAGUGUUAAAAUCUUCAGUUAUGAUAAUCUCAGGUUAGCCACAAGGAAGUUCCAUUCUAACUGUGUGCUCGGUGAAGGAGGAUUUGGAUGUGUAUAUAAAGGAUGGAUUGAUGAGAACACAUUGUCACCUUGCGAACCUGGCACUGGUAUACCUGUUGCAGUGAAAAGAUUAGGGCAGGAGAGUUCGCAAGGGCACAAAGAGUGGUUGGCAGAAAUUAACCUAGCUCACCUUUCCCACCCCAACCUUGUGAAGUUAUUUGGGUACUGCUUAGAGGAUGAGCACCGGCUACUAGUGUACGAAUUCAUACCACAUGGGAGCUUGGACAAUCAUCUUUUUAAGAGAGACUCAUGUCAACCUCUGUCAUGGAACCUGAGAAUGAAAGUUGCACUUGGAGUUGCAAAAGCACUAGCUUACCUUCACUGUGCAGAGAUAAAUGUCAUUGUUAGAGAUGUUAAGAAUUCCAAUAUUCUCCUUGACAGAGACUAUACCGCGAAGCUCUCUGAUUUUGGAGUGGCAGUUAAUGGUCCUGUUGAUCAGGAGAGUCAUUUAUCCACAGCGGUUAAGGGGACACGUGGUUAUGCAGCUCCGGAAUACAUUGCAACAGGCCUACUUACACAGAAGUGUGACAUCUAUGGCUUUGGAGUACUGCUUCUGGAGUUGUUGUCAGGUCGCCGUGCCCUUGACGAGAACCGACCAGGGAUGGAGCAGAAUCUUGUGGACUGGGCCAGACCAUAUCUCAGGCAUAAGCACAAGAUACGUUGUGUCAUAGAUACCAGUCUAGGCGGUCUGUACUCGUUCAGUGCGGUCCAGAAACUCGCUGCCCUUGCCCUCGAGUGCCUGUGCACGGACCCCAAGAAGAGGCCGGCCAUGGACUCGGUGGUCUCUAUCCUAGAAGGUGUUCAGGAAGACGAGGAACUAGAAGCAGCGGAGCACCAGGAAUCAGGCAAAAAGGUCACUGCGAGUGCAAGCAGGAAGAACGGCAAAUCUCGCUGGAAUAUCUUCGGAGGGGGGCGGUCGUGA
rnacentral:rRNA from 1 species